rnacentral:SRP_RNA from 1 species
GAUCGGGCUCCGGACGGCGGUAUGCCGUGAACCUGGUCAGGUCCGGGAGGAAGCAGCCAUAAGCGGUCUCUGCCGGGCGUCCGGGGUCCGCUCGGG